CAGCUCCGGAGCUGGAGAAGCGGCAGCUACCAGGCAGCCCAGCUUCGCGAAGGCUCUCGGCGCGCUGCGGCCCGCAGGCUUCCGGCACGCGCCCGCCCCGCUGCCACGAAGCCCGAGAGGAAGGUCAGCUCCGCCGAGGGGGCAGCGAAGGAGGAGGACUGCCGGAGUUCAUGUGCCCUCCUCGGCAUCAGAGAACAGGCCAGUGUAAGGAAGCUUAGCCUAAUGGGUAUUGUAAUGGUUCUGGCCCACUGUUACGUCCGUGAUAAAAGCGGCUCAGAUCCUGGAAAAGGCCAGAAAAUGUGCUUAAAUGUUGUUAACAAUCGAGACAGGGAAAACGAGGAAAGAAAGGAACAGUAAGACUGGAGACGAGGCCAGAGACGGGCCAGAUUUUUGGCUGCAGUUAAUAGACAGGCCAAGUCCAGGGCCACCUCAGGGUCACCCCACCAGCCCCAGAAGAGGAAACACCAGAUAAAGGAGACUGCUUUGGCUAUAAAAGCCCAGAUCACUGGAAUGAGGACUGUUCUGAUCCUCCAAACUAGAAGGGCACUAGAGGAGGGAGUGUCUCCUGCUCUGAAGGGAGUGGGGAUCAACUCCGUCCCCAAAAUGGCUGUGAUCACUGUUGGGCCUGAAGUUCCCAGAGGCUCCCAAGCUGUUCUCAUCACAGGGGAGGAACUGCGGGUGACCCUUGAUGUGGCAGAAACCUGCUCCUGCAAAACUGGAAACGAAGCCCAAAAAGGCAUCAGGAAAGGUGGGUUUCAAACUUACAAUAAGAGUCUGUGGUGUCUUCGAAAUGCAGCAGUGCUUCGCAACAUGUGACUUUCCUUAAUAAAGCCAUUGCUGACCCCUAAGGUCUUGUGAAACUGUUAAUGACUAAGAUCUUGACUUUGAAUCUGUCACAAUAAUUAAUAGAUGUCAGUCUCCUGAAGUUGAAAUUUUAUCGUAUUUAUCUACUUAAACUUUGUAUUUUAAUAAGUAGACUUUUUUCCUCUGAUCUGGGUAAAAUAUAACAGAUACAAUUAUCCUGGCUUAUGGGAAUAUGUGUCACAUUAAUGCUGCUGCGAAUUUAGGACACUUAAGAUGGCUAGAAAUACUAAAUAUCGGCUUACAAAGGAAACUCAUUCUUUGUGUUGUGUACGUUUUGGGGUCGGUGGUUGUCCAUUGGUUGCAUGCUUGUACUUUUUUUUAAAUUUUUAUUGGGGAAUAUUGUGUUUCUCCAGUGCCCAUCAGCUCCAAGUCGUUGUCCUUCAAUCUUAGUUGCAGGGGCGCAGCUCAGCUCCAAGUCCAGUCGCCGUUUUAAAUCUUUAGUUGCAGGGGGCGCAGCCCACCAUCCCAUGUGGGAAUUGAACCGGCAACCUUGUUGUUGAGAGCUCGCACUCUAACCAACUGAGCCAUCCAGCCACCCCUCCGGAAGCUCAGCGGCAGCUCCUUAUCUUCAGUCUAGUUGUGGAGGGUGCAUCUCGCUGGCCCAUGUGGGAAUCGAACCAGCAACCCUGUUCAUAGCUCGCACUAUAACGAACUGAACCAUCUGGCCACCCCCAUGCUUGUAAUUUUAAUAACAGCAAAGCUAGGACUGAGGCCAGAAGAAAAGGAAUGUGUUAAGUUUUUGCAUGUAAAGUUUGCAGGCCAAGUUAGAGGG
ensembl:lncRNA